rnacentral:rRNA from 1 species
UACGGAGGGUGCAAGCAUUGAUCGGAAUUACUGGGCGUAAAGGGCGCGUAGGCGGUCACGAAAGUCAGAUGUGAAAUUCCGGGGCUCAACCCCGGAGCUGCAUUUGAAACUUCAUGACUAGAGUACAAUUAGGGAAAACGGAAUUCCACGUGUAGCGGUGAAAUGCAUAGAUAUGUGGAAGAACACCGGUGGUGAAGACGGUUUUCUGGGUUGUUACUGACGCUGAGGCGCGAAAGCUAGGGGAGCAAACAGG